rnacentral:rRNA from 1 species
UAGGGAAUCUUCGGCAAUGGGGGCAACCCCUGACCGAGCAACGCCGCGUGAGUGAAGAAGGUUUUCGGAUCGUAAAGCUCUGUUGUAAGAGAAGAACGUGUGUGAGAGUGGAAAGUUCACACAGUGACGGUAACUUACCAGAAAGGGACGGCUAACUACGUGCCA